AGGGUAAUAGCUCAGUGGUAGAGUGCAUGCUUAGCAUGCCUGAGGUCCUGGGUUCAAUCCCUAGUACCUCCA
rnacentral:tRNA from 1 species